AUUCUCAGCUGUGAAGUGGCUUCUUGUUUCUGUCUUUUCAUCCUAAAGGGGUGGGUGUACCCAACCUACUUCUUCAUGUGUGGGAGGAGCAAGGCACAUGCUUGGAAGAUACAAAUUCUAAUGUAUGCUGUAAAGCGGAGAUGGUGAAGGAAUGCUGUAGGAGGAUCAGACUUCUUGAAGGGGGAUUUGGAAGAGCAUCUGCAAGGAGUGCAUUUCCCAAGCUUCUGAAGGGACACAACUCUAGCAGUGCCAACCAGGACGAUUGCUCUGCCUGGGCUGCUGCCACCAACACAACUUCUCCCCUGGUGCCCGUGGGAGCAGCUCUUGGAGGUUUUGGGGUACAACUCAGACCUCCUAUCUCAUGGGCAGCUCAGCUGUUUUCCCAUGGAGCAGGAAAAGGAGGUGGUGGAUUAAUUGCUGCUGUACUGUACCUGGACCAGCACAGCCCUGCAAAGCACAGAAGAUACAGUAUCACCUUUCUUUGAUUAAAGAAGAUGUGACGAAGAUUCCUUCAAACCGACCUACCAUAGUCCAUUCAAGAGAGUUUUGCAUAUCCCAUUGGGAGUGUUUGUCAUUGCUCAUAGGUAAUGGCUCCUGCUGAAUGAGCCCCAGCACAUCUCUCCAAACAGUGUUGAACUGCCUCCAGGCUCAGGGGUACACCACAUUUAGAUGCCUUGAACAUGUUUCCAUCUCUAUUUUUAUGCAUUAAGAUCAAUUUCAUGAACUUUGCUAGGUAAGGUGAUUGCCAUCAGCAGGAAGAAUGUAGUAAAUUAAUUAUAGAUGUGUGUUAAAUUACUUUCAUUACCACCUUCAGUUCUGGGAGAGAAUCAUGUGAGCAGGAUGACUGAUGAAACAGUGUUUUUACACAUUCCCCCAGUAAUGGGUAUUUUUACCUGACUGCCACUGUUGUUUCUCAGUUCAGAGAAGCUGGAAUUACACGUUAAAGGAAAUGGAGGUUCAGUUUAAAAUUAACGUCUAAAUAUUGCCAAAUAGCUGUGGCUAAGGCAGGAAAGCAAACUGUCUGUUCAGGGUCUUCUAUAGACAUCCCACAAUGAUGUACAGAGGUGGGCUGAGGGAGGAUUCAACCUUUCUACCAUCAGACACGUCCAGCUACCAGAGGAGAGAGCCCCUCGUGUUUGGGGUGUUCCUUCUACACACUGUCAAAGACAUCACAGCCAAACUAAAAGUCAACACAUGUGGAAAGUUAUUUUCCAUAUUCACCUUACAACAACCUUGGUGCAGGGUAUUUUCCAGGGAUUAAUGACCAGGCCAGUUUAAUGGCUCUCUGCUGAACUUCAGGCUAUCAACUUUUCACAGCCUAUCAUUAAUCCCUGGAAAAUAUCUAGGUUCAUGAUAGAUACGGGUGAAAAAUAAUACACCGUGUGAAGGUAAGUAUAUUGCUAGUAUUUCAUCAUGUGCUGGCCAUAAUUACUAACUUUAGAUACACUUCAGAAUGUAGGUAAAUUAGCUACAGCUUAGUUACACUGUAAUUACAAAGCUACUUCACUGCACAUCUAUUUAUACAGUGUGUAAUUACCAUCUUCUCCAGCUGAAAGUCGAAAUCAUGGUAUAAUUGUCCUUUGUGUUUUGUACUGCAGUGUGCUACACAACGCUGUAUUUUGAAGCGUGUCUUUGACAGGUAGGUCAGAGGACACGCGUUGCUGAGUAAAUGAAGUCAGUGUGGUUCUAGGCACAACAUUAAUGAUCUUUUCUGUUAGGAAAAAAAAAACAAACAACGGGCAAUAGUUUGCUAAUAAUAAGGAAAAGAGGAAAAGAUAAGCCUAAACUGUAGGGAUGUUAUCCAAAAUGUUGAGCUCAGCGAUAGGAUGACACUCACAUUCUAUGUGGGAUUUUCUAAGCAAUCCCAUUGGCAGAGGUGUUCAAAUGGAGACUUUUCUCCAGAGGAGUGGUAUUUCUUCUGUUUAAGUAUCAUAGUAGAGAUGAUGUUUGCACUCUGUGUAGAAGACCCACAUGGCUAUAGCCCACCCUCCAAGGCAGCACGGAGGUUUUGCAUCUGGUCUUAAUUAAUCAGCACAGUCUUCCUUGUUAAUUUCUUGGAUGAGAUAUGAGGUCUCGUUCAUCUUUCCAGUAUCAACUCAUGAGGUCUUCUGUCAGACAGACCCCUGAUAGGCUUUCUGGAGAGCACAACACCUCAUGCAGGAACGUGUGCUUGAAAAUCCUUCCACAUAAUUACCCACUGCAGCGUUAAGUUGACUUUUAGGAGUAAUGCUAAUAGAUUUCAAAAGAGUAAGCACAAAGGGAAAUCGCAAAUCACCCCCCAAGUCAUUAGCUAGGGAUGGUUAUCAUGUUGUUACCCUGGUUGGAAGAGAGGGAAGGAGGUGAUCAAGAAACACGGAGAACAUGUUUCUUGAUGGAGAACCAAGAAACAUGGUUGUACUUAGGGUCAUGGUUUAGUGGGCAGUAUUGGUAGGUGGACAGUUGAAUUAGAUGAAUUGAGAGGUCUUUUCCAAACGUCAUGGUUCUAUGAAGGGAGGGCCCAGCCACGGAGAUCCCUCUUGCCUCCACUUUUAUGCAACCCCACUGUCUUUUAACACAUCCGUCCUCACAUCACUGGGGAAUGCAGCCCCUCAGUGCAAGGCUUCAGCUUGUGGGUUUUCCCUCUGGUGUGUCUGAGACUGGGAUGUGGGUGCAUGCAUCUGCACAUACAGUAGGGACCAUCUUGGAAGCUUGAAGCACACCAGAGUUCCUUCCCUGCUCUGACUCUGCAGGAGCAGGCCUGCUGUGGUUUCCAUUAGGCUUGUGCAAGUGC
rnacentral:lncRNA from 7 species